CCUCGAGACACCCACUCACACGCCGACGACACCAGAAACACAACAUGGAAAAUCAGCAAACAAAAAUACCGGCCCUGAUGACACUGCGACUGACGAGACCGACGACAACGACGACACAAACA